rfam:Pantoea vagans C9-1, complete genome.
AGGUAUCUGAGUAUAUGGGGAUGAUUGUCCGACAUUCAACGUCACAGAGGCGAGAAAAGCAAAAGGGGAAACAUUUUCCCCUUUUUUAAUAGAA